UAGGAGGUCCUGCCUGCCCCGUGAUUUUUAUUUAACGGCCGCGGUAUCUUAACCGUGCGAAGGUAGCGCAAUCACUUGCCCUUUAAAUGAGGACCUGUAUGAAUGGCGUGACGAGGGCUUAACUGUCUCCUUCCUCCAGUCAAUGAAAUUGAACCCCCCGUGCAGAAGCGGGGAUAAUAAUAUAAGACGAGAAGACCCUGUGGAGCUUUAGACAAACAUAAACUUUGUAAAGAAACCUCACUUAAAGAGAUAAAACAAUAAGAAUCUUCAUAUACUGUCUUCGGUUGGGGCGACCGCGGGGAAAUACAAAACCCCCAUGUGGAAUGAGAACAAAAGUUCCCUAAGCUUAGAGUGACAACUCAAGGCAACAAAAUUUUUGACCUAAAAUGAUCCGGCUUUGCCGAUCAACGGAACCAGUUACCCCAGGGAUAACAGCGCUAUCCUUUCCUAGAGUCCCUAUCGACGAAAGGGUUUACGACCUCGAUGUUGGAUCAGGACAUCCUAAUGGUGCAACCGCUAUUAAGGGUUUGUUUGUUCAACA
rnacentral:rRNA from 1 species